CCCGCUGAACUUAAGCAUAUCAAUAAGCGGAGGAAAAGAAACUAACAAGGAUUCCCCUAGUAACUGCGAGUGAAGCGGGAAAAGCUCAAAUUUAAAAUCUGGUGGUCUUUGGCUGCCCGAGUUGUAAUCUAGAGAAGUGUUAUCCGCGCUAGACCGUGUACAAGUCUCCUGGAAUGGAGCGUCAUAGAGGGUGAGAAUCCCGUCUUUGACACGGACUACCAGGGCUUUGUGAUGCGCUCUCAAAGAGUCGAGUUGUUUGGGAAUGCAGCUCUAAAUGGGUGGUAAAUUCCAUCUAAAGCUAAAUAUUGGCGAGAGACCGAUAGCGAACAAGUACCGUGAGGGAAAGAUGAAAAGAACUUUGGAAAGAGAGUUAAACAGUACGUGAAAUUGUUGAAAGGGAAACGCUUGAAGUCAGUCGCGUCAUCCAGGGAUCAACCUUGCUUUUGCUUGGUGUACUUUCUGGUUGACGGGUCAGCAUCAAUUUUGACCAUUGGAAAAAGAUUAAGGGAAUGUGGCAUACAUAGUGAUGUGUUAUAGCCCUUGGUUGCAUACAAUGGUUGGGAUUGAGGAACUCAGCACGCCGCAAGGCCGGGUUUUUAUUAACCACGUACGUGCUUAGGAUGUUGGCAUAAUGGCUUUAAUCGACCCGUCUUGAAACACGG
rnacentral:rRNA from 1 species